rnacentral:tRNA from 1 species
GCCUGGGUGGCUCAGUGGGUUGAGCAUCUGACUUCAGCUCAGGUCAUGAUCUCAUGGUUUGUGGGUUUGAGCGCCACAUCAGGCU